UAACUCCUACGGGGGGCAGCAGUGGGGAAUAUUGGGCAAUGGGCGCAAGCCUGACCCAGCAACGCCGCGUGAAGGAAGAAGGCUUUCGGGUUGUAAACUUCUUUUGACAGGGAAGAGUAGAAGACGGUACCUGUCGAAUAAGCCACGGCUAACUACGUGCCAGCAGCCGCGGUAAUACGUAGGGGGCAAGCGUUAUCCGGAUUUACUGGGUGUAAAGGGAGCGUAGACGGCAUUGCAAGUCCGGAGUGAAAGCCCACGGCCCAACCGUGGGACUGCUCUGGACACUGUAGAGAUGGAGUGCGGGG
rnacentral:rRNA from 1 species